CGGGCUAUCGUAUAGUGGUAGUACGCGUGGCUGGGGGUCAUGCAGUCCGGGUUCGAUUCCCGGUAGCCCGA
rfam:Parcubacteria bacterium GW2011_GWA1_56_13 TY93_C0002, whole genome shotgun sequence.